UGGGGAAUAUUGCGCAAUGGGCGAAAGCCUGACGCAGCGACGCCGCGUGAGGGAUGAAGGCUUUCGGAUCGUAAACCUCUGUCAGAAGGGAAGAAAACGCACUUUGCUAAUCAGCAGUGCCUUGACGGUACCUUCAAAGGAAGCACCGGCUAACUCCGUGCCAGCAGCCGCGGUAAUACGGAGGGUGCAAGCGUUGAUCGGAAUUACUGGGCGUAAAGCGCACGUAGGCUGCUUUGUAAGUCAGGGGUGAAAUCCCACGGCUCAACCGUGGAACUGCCUUUGAUACUGUUUAGCUUGAAUCCGGGAGAGGGUGGCGGAAUUCCAGGUGUAGGGGUGAAAUCCGUAGAUAUCUGGAGGAACAUCAGUGGCGAAGGCGGCCACCUGGACCGGUAUUGACGCUGAGGUGCGAAAGCGUGGGGAGCAAACAAG
rnacentral:rRNA from 1 species